CUGACACUCAGAGACGAAAGCAUGGGUAGCGAACGGGAUUAGAUACCCCGGUAGUCCAUGCCGUAAACGAUGAUCACUCGAUGUUAGACUUUUCAAUCGGUCUAGUGUCCAAAGCUAACGCGAUAAGUGAUCCGCCUGGGGAGUACGGUCGCAAGAUUAAAACUCAAAGGAAUAGACGGGGACCUACACAAGCAGUGGAGCAUCUGGUUUAAUUCGAUAAUAAGCGAGGAACCUCACCUAGGCUUGACAUCCCGAUGAACGCUCUAGAAAUAGAGAACUGCCUUUUGGAACAUCGGUGACAGGUGCUGCAUGGUUGUCGUCAGCUCGUGCCUUGAGGUGUUCGGUUAAGUCCGUGAACGAGCGCAACCCACGUCGCAUGUUGUAUUUUUCAUGCGAGACCGCCGGUUACAAAUCGGAGGAAGGUGUGGAUGACGUCAAAUCAGCAUGGCCCUUAUGCCUAGGGCUACACAGGUGCUACAAUGGCCAGUACAACGGGCAGCGAAGCAGCAAUGCCAAGCCAAUCCCUUAAAACUGGUCCAAGUUCGGAUUGAGGGCUGCAACUCGCCCUCAUGAAGUUGGAAUUGCUAGUAAACGUGCAUCAGCAAUGGCGCGUUGAAUAUGUUCCUAGGUCUUGUACUCACCGCCCGUCAAGUCAUGGAAGAUAGGGGCGCCCGAAGUCCUUCGUUACUGGAGGCCUAAGGUGA
rnacentral:rRNA from 1 species